rnacentral:misc_RNA from 1 species
GAUGAAGAACGUAGCGAAAUGGGAUACGUAGUGUGAAUUGCAGAAUUCAGUGAAUCAUCGAAUCUUUGAACGCACAUUGCACCUCUCGGUAUUCCGGGAGGUAUGCCUGUUCGAGCGUCAUUUGUACCCUCAAGCUCUGCUUGGUGUUGGGUGUUUGUUCCGCCUCUGUGUGUGAACUCGCCUCAAAACAAUUGGCAGCCGGCGUACUUGUUUCGGAGCGCAGCACAUUUUGCGAUCCAGAUCAACGUACAGCGGCAUCCAAGAAGCCUUAUUUAACGCUCUUGACCUCGGAUCAGGCAGGGAUACCCGCUGAACUUAAGCAUAUCAAUAAGCGGAGGA